rnacentral:rRNA from 1 species
UACGUAGGGGGCUAGCGUUGUCCGGAAUCAUUGGGCGUAAAGCGCGUGUAGGCGGUCCGGUAAGUCCGCUGUGAAAGUCGGGGGCUCAACCCUCGAAUGCCGGUGGAUACUGUCGGGCUAGAGUGCGGAAGGGGCUACUGGAAUUCUCGGUGUAGCGGUGAAAUGCGUAGAUAUCGAGAGGAACACCUGCGGCGAAGGCGGGUAGCUGGGCCGACACUGACGCUGAGGCGCGAAAGCCAGGGGAGCGAACGGG